rnacentral:rRNA from 1 species
GAUGAACGCUAGCUACAGGCUUAACACAUGCAAGUCGAGGGGAAACGAUAUUGGAAGCUUGCUUCCGAUAGGCGUCGACCGGCGCACGGGUGAGUAACGCGUAUCCAACCUGCCCACCACUUGGGGAUAACCUUGCGAAAGUAAGACUAAUACCCAAUGAUAUCCAUAGAAGACAUCUGAAAUGGAUUAAAGAUUUAUCGGUGAUGGAUGGGGAUGCGUCUGAUUAGCUUGUUGGCGGGGUAACGGCCCACCAAGGCGACGAUCAGUAGGGGAUCUGAGAGGAAGGUCCCCCACAUUGGAACUGAGACACGGUCCAAACUCCUACGGGAGGCAGCAGUGAGGAAUAUUGGUCAAUGGGCGAGAGCCUGAACCAGCCAAGUAGCGUGCAGGAUGACGGCCCUAUGGGUUGUAAACUGCUUUUAUAAGGGAAUAAAGUGGGAGUCGUGACUCCUUUUGCAUGUACCUUAUGAAUAAGGACCGGCUAAUUCCGUGCCAGCCGCCGCAGUAA